rnacentral:rRNA from 1 species
AUGCAGUCGAGCGGACAGAAAGGGAGGCUUGCUCCCGGACGUUAGCGGCGGACGGGUGAGUAACACGUGGGUAACCUGCCUGUUAAGACUGGGAUAACUCCGGGAAACCGGAGCUAAUACCGGAUAGUUCUUGAACCGCAUGGUUCAAGGCUGAAAGACGGUUUCGGUAUCACUUACAUAGUUGGUGCCGCGGCGAUUAGCCGACCUGAGAGGGUGAUCGGCCACACUGGGACUGAGACGGCCCAGACUCCUACGGGAGGCAGCAGUAGGGAAUCUUCCACAAUGGGCGAAAGCGUGAUGGAGCAACGGUGGUGGAAGAAGGUUUUCC